UACGUAGGCAGCGAGCGUUGUUCGGAAUUACUGGGCGUAAAGAGUGUGUAGGCGGUGCUCCAAGUCUGUCGUGAAAUCUCCCGGCUCAACUGGGAGGGUGCGGCGGAAACUAGAGUGCUCGAGUGUGGGAGAGGUAUGCGGAAUUCCUGGUGUAGCGGUGAAAUGCGUAGAUAUCAGGAGGAACACCUGCGGUGUAGGCAGCUUCCUGGACCACGACUGACGCUGAGCCGCGAAAGCGUGGGUAGCAAACAGG
rnacentral:rRNA from 1 species